ensembl:lncRNA
CAGAAGUCAAUUUUCUUGCCUACAGUGUUGUUUUCAUACACCUCUGGGAUCUGUUGACUCUUACCUGACGCUGUUUUUGCACCAGCAGACUGUGUUUUUAAGACUUGGAGGAGUGAGGAGCACCCUUUGUGGCCCCAGGCAGUCUGUUGUGUGUGAAGGCAGCCAGCCCAGCUCUCAGUACUUGCCCUCUGGAGUACGGCUGUAGGGCCCAGGCCUGAAGUGUGGCCUGCACCACUGGCUGACCUUGUCUUGCUGGGGCCAUGGGGAGAGGAGACCCCAAAGAUCCCUGGGGAGGCCACCACAGAACUUGGUGCCUGGGAGUCAUUUUGGGCCAGAGCCUGCCUCAGGACCUGGACUGAGUGACCACUGCUGCCAAACCAGACUCAUCCAUGGGCCUAGGAUCCUGACCCUGGAAACCAACAGGCACUGGAUUUAAGUGGCCACACUGAGUGUACCCUAACUGUGAUUCAGCCUUGUGCUCAUCCAAUAUGGUGAAGUUAUUGGCCUAAUUUUGCAAAGGUAUGCCUGUUUGACUCAAGAGCUAUGGUCAAAGUGUGGUGCUGCAGGAGAAAGAACAGAGUUGCUUUAAACUUUUAGGCAAAAUAUACCUGAAGACAUGAUCUGAGAAGAUUUUUUUAUCUUUACUAGGCAUUUGCUACCAUUGGUGAAGGCACACCUAGCUUCCUGGAGAAGACAUUUCUGCCAUGAAAAUGGCUUCCGUCCUUGGAAAAGGAUUUGCUUGCUGCAGGCAGAAUCAGACUGUCAGUUUACAGUCAUUUGGACUCCUUGCCUGCUUCAAAUAAAGCAGCUGCUAAACGCUUUUGACUCAACCUGCAUUUUUGAAUUUAAGACACCCUCCUUCCCCACUGGUUUGAUAGACCCUGCUGUUAAAACCUUAAUGAAUAUGAAUGGUGUCACACCUGUUAAACUGUUGCUUAGAAAUCUGAAUAGAGUAAGGCUUUCUUUAAUGUAUAUGGUUAAUGAUUUUUUUUGCUGCUUUGUUUGAUUCAGAAUUGUAUUUGUUUAUUUGUUUGAGAAUAUGUUCAUGUUGUGCUGCAACGUUUGUGGAAACUUAGAAACAAGUCCUAGUAAUGCUAUAGGGCAGAUAAAGACCACCUAAGGCUAAGAAAAGUGGAAGAAACAAAUAUCUAAACAACAUGCAGUGGAUUUCUCCUUAUUUUCAAGGUGUGUUAACUUAAAACAAAUUUGGUAAAUGGCAGACUUCCAAAUGUCGUAGCUAGAACAUGUUGUAAUUAAUUUUGUAAUUUCUUUGUGAUGUUUAACAGAUGAUGUUACAUUUUGCAAUAACUAUUUAAUAUAGUGAGUGAUUUCUAUCUUUUUCUUUUCUUAUGAAAGACAAUAACUAGGGGAAGUUUUGUCUUGCUAUCCCUGUUAUGACAUUGAGAAAGCACUGAAUGCAGUAAAUGAAUUAGGCUGUGGGAUACUUCUAAUUCAGUUAGGGCAGAGAGAAAAGGUGUAAUUGUAUUGACAUCUUCUGUCAUGACUAUGUCAAUCACGUAGUGGUAACUUGGCCGUAGGUGGACCACGUCACAUAUGUUUCCGGUCUCUAAUAAUACAGAGUUUAAAUUCUUGGCUUCUGACUAAAUAACUGUUCCCCACAGCCUUAUAAGAAUAACAAAGAUUUCAAGUAGUUAAUAUAUACAUUACUGUUUAUAUUCAUUUGUAUAUAUAAUUAGCAAUAGAGUUUUUUUUAUACCAGUGAAGUUAUCAUAGAAAGCUUUUUCCUGUACAUACUCAAUUAAAGGAAGUUUGUUCCUUGAGCAGGUGUGUUAAAACUAGACUGUAAAGUGAAGGUCAUUUUUUUUCUGGUGAUAGAAAACAUGGUCUAAGACAAGUUGUUUGACCUACUUUGACUUGUGUAGGCUGCAACAAGCAGUUAGCAAUAUCUCUAGCUUAUCUCAGUUUCUUUGCUGGUAAAACCAUGAGGCAACCAUCAUGCUUCAUGUUAGCUCUUGGAAGAUGCUUGUACAAUAAGGCAUGAUGUGCAGAAUCUAACUCUUAUCUCAUGCCAUAUAAUGUGCCAGGUAAUGUUUUUGUCAUUGUGCAUAUAGUUUGACAACUACCAUAUUACCGUAUACCUUUUAUUCUUGCACUGAAAUGCCUGCUAAUGUCAGUGAGGAAUGUGAUAUCUUUUCAUGUCUAACUCAUCAACCUACUGAUCUUAAUCAAAAAGCAAAUGAGAAACAUGGGAGUGAAAUUUCCAACAGCAAUUUUCAGAGGUGCAGUUUUGCUGUUCUAACUGUACUUGUAUCUACCAUAAUAUGGUGACACAAGCCUUUUGCAGGAAGUUGAUGGGUAUAUCCAGAAUUAGAAUUUAUUUGAUGCUUUAUCCAGCUUGCACACUUCAAUUGUGCAGCACAUCUUACUUUAAGACCAUAGAAUUUAAGAUUCAUCUACUGAAAAGUGAGGUUAGGUAACUUUCUCACUCUUUUCUCUCUCCCCCCCCCCCCUUUUUAGGGGUUAGAAGUUUUUAAAAAACAAAAACACACUAGUUCCUUCUAGCAUAAAAAAUUUCCUUAUGACUUCUUCAGUAGAGUCAUUAUUUAAAAGGAAGUUAAGGUAAACUUAAAUGGGAUAAAUAUUUUAAAACUAUUUGCCUAUCCUCAUCUAGAACCAGAACAUUUUAUUAUUCAUCUUACUUCUGAUGAGUUAUCAUGCUGAUGUGUUGUGAAUCACUUGUAGAAAAAUAAGGAUGCUCACCCUAUUUUGGAUUUAACUUUGCAUUAAGCACUGAUUUAAGUUAUUUUUACUUUCAAUUUCUCUUGAAUUUCUUUGAAACUGCAAGACUGUUAUUUUUAUGUUGUGAGAAUGAAAGGGUUUAUAAUACCAAGCUUUUCUACAGUUUUUAGGUUAAACUUCUUUAAUAUCUGAACAUACUAUUAUUUACUUUUAUAUCAUUUCUGUGGUGGAGAGAAUGUGUUAAUUAAAGAUGUAUACAUAAUCUUUGAGAAUAUAGAUCAUAUCAUUCCUAGUAACCUCAUUUAGAGGCAUGAUUCAUGAAAAGCAUGGAAUCUCUGGAAAGAGAACUGAAUUAAAUCACAGAAUUAGGUUGGAAAAGACCUACAAGAUCAUCCAGUCCAACCAUCCACCUACCACCAAUAACCCCACUAAACCAUGUCUCUCAAUGCUAUAUCUAAAUGUUUCUUGAACACCUCCAGGGACGGUGACUCAACCAUCUCCCUGGGCAGCCCAUUCCAGCGCCUGACCCCUGGGGAACACCACUCGUGAGCUGUCACCAGCUAGACUUAACUCCAUUCACCACCACUCUCCGGGUCUGGCCCUCCAGCCAGCUCCUUACCCAGCAAGGAGUGUACCUGUCCAAGCCAUGGGCUGCCAGCUUCUCCAGGAGAAUACUGUGGGAGACAGUGCUGAAGGUUUUGCUGAAGUCUAGGUAGACCACAUCAACAGCCUUUCCCUCAUCCACCAGAAAGGUCAGUCGAUCAUAGAAGGAGAUCAGGUUGGUUAAGCAGGACCUGUCCUGCCCUUCACAAACCCAUCCUGGCUGGGCCUGAUCCCCCGGUUGUCCUGCAAAUGCCGCGUGAUCUCCCUCAGAACAAUCUGCUCCAUCACCUUCCCUGGCACUGGGGUCAGGCUGACAGGCCUGUAGCUCCCUGGAUCCUCCUUACGACCCUUCUUGUAGAUGAGAGUCACAUUGGCAAGUCGCCAGUCUUCUGGGACCUCUCCAGUUGACCAGGAAUGCUGAUGAUGGAAAGCAGCUUGGCUAUCUCCUCCGCCAGCUCCCUCAGCACUCUUGAAUGGGUCUCGUCUGGCUCCAUGGGCUUGUGGCAGUCCAGGUAGAGUAGUAGGUCUCUGACCAUUUCCUCUUGAAUUGUGGGGGGUUUAUUCCACUCCCCAUCCGAGACUUCCAGGUCAGAGAGUAGAGUACUGUGAGGAUAACUGGCCUGACUUUUAAAGACAGACGUAAAGAAGGCAUUGAGAACCUCAGCCUUUCCAUUGUCCUCAGUGGCCAUGUUCCCAGCCGCGUCCAGUAAAGAAUGGAGAUUAUCCUUGGUCUUCCUCUUACUGUUAAUAUAUUUAUAGAAGAGUUUCUUGUUCCAUUAAAAUAAAAAUUGUUCCCUAAAAUAAAAACUUGAAGGC